CCCUUAGAUGUUCUGGGCUGCACGCGCGCUACACUGAUGCGCUCAACGAGUUUAUAACCUUGUCCGGCAGGAUUGGGUAAUCUUUUUAAAACGCAUCGUGAUGGGGAUAGAUUAUUGCAAUUAUUAAUCUUCAACGAGGAAUUCCUAGUAAGCGCGAGUCAUCAGCUCGUGCUGAUUACGUCCCUGCCCUUUGUACACACCGCCCGUCGCACCUACCGAUUGAACGUUCCGGUGAGACCUUGGGAUUUGGUCUUUGAUACUUUAUUGUGUCGUUGACCGAAAAACUUGAGCAAACCUUAACGUUUAGAGGAAGGUGAAGUCGUAACA
rnacentral:rRNA from 1 species